rnacentral:tRNA from 2 species
CCGGUAGUUCAGCUGGUUAGAACGCUAGCCUGUCACGCUAGAGGUCGUGGGUUCGAUCCCCAUCCG